GACCGUAUCACCGAGUGCCAGGACUCGCUACGGGAGGCAGCAGUGAGCAAUAUUGCACAAUGGGGGAAACCCUGAUGCAGCAACGCCGCGAGGAGGAUGACACAUUUCGGUCCCUAAACUCCAUCUAUAUAGGAAGAUAAUGACGAUACUAUAAGAAUAAGCGCCGGCUAACUCCCUCCCAGCAGCCGCGGUAAGACGGAGGGCGCAAGCGUUACUCGGAAUCACUGAGCAAAAAGAGCGUGUAGGCGGAUCGAUAAGGCAGGAGUCAAAUCCUAUGGCUCAACCAGAGAACUGCUCCUGAAACUCCCAAUCUAGAGUAUGGGAGAAGGAGAGGAAUUUCUGGUGUAGGAAUAAAAUCCGUAGAGAUCAGAAGGAAUACCGAUUGCGAAGGCGAUCUACUGAAACAUAACUGACGCUGAGACGCGAAAGCGUGGGGAGCAAACAGGAUUAGAUACCCUGGUAGUCCACCCCCCAAACGAUGUACACUAGUUGUUGCCAUACUAGAUAUGGCAGUAAUGCAGUUAACACAUUAAGUGUACCGCCUGGGGAGUACGGUCGCAAGAUUAAAACUCAAAGGAAUAGACGGGGACCCGCACAAGCGGUGGAGCAUGUGGUUUAAUUCGACGAUACGCGAAGAACCUUACCUGGUCUUGACAUAGUAAGAAUAUUUUAGAGAUAGAAUAGUGCUAGCUUGCUAGAACUUACAUACAGGUGCUGCACGGCUGUCGUCAGCUCGUGUCGUGAGAUGUUGGGUUAAGUCCCGCAACGAGCGCAACCCUCGUCGUUAGUUGCUAACAGUUCGGCUGAGAACUCUAACGAGACUGCCUACGCAAGUAGGAGGAAGGUGAGGACGACGUCAAGUCAUCAUGGCCCUUACGACCAGGGCUACACACGUGCUACAAGGGGGUAUACAAAGAGCAGCAUACGGUGACGUGGAGCAAAUCUCAAAAUACCUCCCAGUUCGGAAUGUAGUCAGCAAACGACUACAAGAAGCACAAAGUGCCUCAUCAUAGGUUUAG
rnacentral:rRNA from 2 species